CCCGCUGAACUUAAGCAUAUCAAUAAGCGGAGGAAAAGAAACUAACAAGGAUUCCCCUAGUAACUGCGAGUGAAGCAGGAAAAGCUCAAAUUUAAAAUCUGGUGGCUUUGGUCAUCCGAGUUGUAAUUUAGAGAAGCGUCUUCCGCGCUGGACCGUGCACAAGUCUCCUGGAAUGGAGUGUCAUAGAGGGUGAGAAUCCCAUCUUUGGCACGGACGCACCAGGGCUUCUGUGAUGCGCUCUCGAAGAGUCGAGUUGUUUGGGAAUGCAGCUCAAAAUGGGUGGUGAACUCCAUCUAAAGAUAAAUAUUGGCGAGAGACCGAUAGCGAACAAGUACCGUGAGGGAAAGAUGAAAAGCACUUUGGAAAGAGAGUGAAACAGUACGUGAAAUUGUUGAAAGGGAAACGCUUGAAGUCAGUCGCGUUGACCAAGACUCAGCCUUGCCUUGGCUUGGUGUACUUCUCGGCUGACGGGUCAGCAUCAAUUUCGCCCCUCGGAUAAUGGUGAGGGAAAUGUGGCACCUUUGUGGGUGUGUUAUAGUCCUUUGUCGCAUGCGAGGGUUGGGAUUGAGGAACUCAGCACGCGCCUUUCGGCGUCGGGGCUCUGCCCACGAUACGUGCUUAGGAUGUUAGCGUAAUGGCUUUAAACGACCCGUCUUGAAACACGG
rnacentral:rRNA from 1 species